rnacentral:rRNA from 1 species
UACACUCCUGCGGGAGGCAGCAGUGGGGAAUAUUGGACAAUGGGCGCAAGCCUGAUCCAGCCAUGCCGCGUGAGUGAUGAAGGCCCUAGGGUUGUAAAGCUCUUUCACCGGUGAAGAUAAUGACGGUAACCGGAGAAGAAGACCCGGCUCACUUCGUGCCAGCAGCCGCGGUAAUACGAAGGGGGCUAGCGUUGUUCGGAUUUACUGGGCGUAAAGCGCACGUAGGCGGACUAUUAAGUCAGGGGUGAAAUCCCGGGGCUCAACCCCGGAACUGCCUUUGAUACUGGUAGUCUUGAGUUCGAGAGAGGUGAGUGGAAUUCCGAGUGUAGAGGUGAAAUUCGUAGAUAUUCGGAGGAACACCAGUGGCGAAGGCGGCUCACUGGCUCGAUACUGACGCUGAGGUGCGAAAGCGUGGGGAGCAAACAGGAUUAGAUACCCUAGUAGUCCCAUGAU